rnacentral:tRNA from 4 species
UGCGGGAUGGAGCAGUCUGGUAGCUCGUCGGGCUCAUAACCCGAAGGUCGUUGGUUCAAAUCCAGCUCCCGCU